UCGGGAAUUUUGGGCAAUGGGCGAAAGCCUGACCCAGCAACGCCGCGUGAAGGAUGAAGUAUUUCGGUAUGUAAACUUCGAAAGAAUAGGAAGAAUAAAUGACGGUACUAUUUAUAAGGUCCGGCUAACUACGUGCCAGCAGCCGCGGUAAUACGUAGGGACCAAGCGUUGUUCGGAUUUACUGGGCGUAAAGGGUGCGUAGGCGGCAUAUCAAGUCACUUGUGAAAUCUCCGGGCUUAACUCGGAACUGCCAAGUGAUACUGAUGUGCUAGAGUGCAGAAAGGGCAACUGGAAUUCUUGGUGUAGCGGUGAAAUGCGUAGAUAUCAAGAGGAACACCUGAGGUGAAGACGGGUUGCUGGGCUGACACUGACGCUGAGGCGCGAAAGCCAGGGGAGCAAACGGGAUUAGAUACCCAGGUAGUCCCUGAGCGGGCUGGCAAGGCGCAU
rnacentral:rRNA from 1 species